rnacentral:rRNA from 1 species
UACGAAGGGGGCUAGCGUUGCUCGGAAUCACUGGGCGUAAAGCGCACGUAGGCGGCUUUCUAAGUCAGGGGUGAAAUCCUGGAGCUCAACUCCAGAACUGCCUUUGAUACUGGAGAGCUUGAGUCCGGAAGAGGUGAGUGGAACUCCGAGUGUAGAGGUGAAAUGCGCAGAUAUCAGGAAGAACACCCGUGGCGAAGGCGGCUCUCUGGGACGGUACUGACGCUGAGACGCGAAAGCGUGGGGAGCGAACAGG